AAACGUAGGAGGCGAGCGUUAUCCGGAUUUACUGGGCGUAAAGCGUGUGUAGGCGGUUUGAUAAGUUGGAUGUGAAAGCUCCCGGCUCAACUGGGAGAGGUCGUUCAAAACUGCUAGACUAGAGAAUGGGAGAGGGAGGUGGAAUUCCGGGUGUAGUGGUGAAAUGCGUAGAUAUCCGGAGGAACACCAGUGGCGAAAGCGGCCUCCUAGACCAUUUCUGACGCUAAGACGCGAAAGCUAGGGUAGC
rnacentral:rRNA from 1 species